CCAGCUCAGCCCUAUUGUCUUCAGUGUGGGAGUUACCAUUCCGGUAUAUGUUUCAAGGCUACUGGUGCAUGUUUUGGUUGUGGUCAAUCUGGUCAUCUUAGGAGGGAUUGUCCAAAUCCUAGAGGAGGCUUUGCUCCAGGUAUUGCACGUCCUACAAUACCAAUGCCAUCAUCUUCAGCUAUGUCUAUUGGAAAUUCUUCUGGUCCUAGUGCUAGAGGAGCAGGUGGCAGGGGUCAGACUUAUAACAGAGGAGGGAGCCAAAGAGGAAGAGGUCAGGCACGUGUGUAUGCUUUAACACGUCAAGAUGCUCAAGCUUCUCAUGCUGUGGUGGCAGAUACAGGAGUCAUUCCAGGUUCCAUUCCACCUGCCCCUCAGUAGAUCUUAGUCAUUUUGGUGAGCCCUUCUUCUUUCCAAGGGCUAAGUAAUUAUGUAAUGGAACCUUUGCUCAAAAUCUAGAUUAUGUCAAUGCUCCAUAUGUCACAGGCAGGAUCC